GGGGCUGAUUUAGGAUUCGACGGGAAUUCAGAAGUCUGAGGUGCAUGCCGAGGUGCGGUAGGCCUCGUUAACAAACCGCAAAAAAAAUAGUCGCAAACGACGAAAAACUACGCACUAGCAGCUUAAUACCCUGCUCAGAGCUCUCUCGCCCUAGCUUCCGCACGUAAGACGGGGAAUAACGAGAGAUCAAACCCAAACGCGCUAGCCCGGAUUCUCCCGCCUGAGAGAUGAACGGCGAAUUAUAAUUCAGGAUAGUCAUUCAUUAGCGUGUCGGUUCGCAGGUGGAUGGUGAAUUUAAAGAUCGACUAAGCAUGUAGUACCAAUGAUGAAAGGUUUUCGGACGCGGGUUCAACUCCCGCCAGCUCCACCA
rnacentral:tmRNA from 1 species